rnacentral:rRNA from 1 species
CACUCCUGCGGGAGGCAGCAGUGGGGAAUAUUGGACAAUGGGCGCAAGCCUGAUCCAGCCAUGCCGCGUGAGUGAUGAAGGCCCUAGGGUUGUAAAGCUCUUUCACCGGUGAAGAUAAUGACGGUAACCGGAGAAGAAGCCCCGGCUAACUUCGUGCCAGCAGCCGCGGUAAUACGAAGGGGGCUAGCGUUGUUCGGAUUUACUGGGCGUAAAGCGCACGUAGGCGGACUAUUAAGUCAGGGGUGAAAUCCCGGGGCUCAACACCGGAACUGCCUUUGAUACUGGUAGUCUUGAGUUCGAGAGAGGUGAGUGGAAUUCCGAGUGUAGAGGUGAAAUUCGUAGAUAUUCGGAGGAACACCAGUGGCGAAGGCGGCUCACUGGCUCGAUACUGACGCUGAGGUGCGAAAGCGUGGGGAGCAAACAGGAUUAGAAACCCGUGUAGUCCCAUGA